GAUAAACGCUAGCGGCAGGCUUAACACAUGCAAGUCGAGGGGCAGCAUAGAUUGUAGCAAUACAAUUGGUGGCGACCGGCGCACGGGUGCGUAACGCGUAUGCAACCUACCCGUCACAGGGGGAUAAUCCGGAGAAAUCUGGUCUAAUACCCCAUAACAUAUGGAUCGGCAUCGGUUCAUGUUGAAAUUUUCGGAGGUGACGGAUGGGCAUGCGUAGCAUUAGCUUGUUGGUGAGGUGACGGCUCACCAAGGCGACGAUGCUUAGGGGGACUGAGAGGUUUUCCCCCCACACUGGUACUGAGACACGGACCAGACUCCUACGGGAGGCAGCAGUGAGGAAUAUUGGUCAAUGGGCGCAAGCCUGAUCCAGCCAUGCCGCGUGCAGGAUGACGGCUCUAUGAGUUGUAAACUGCUUUUGUACGAGGGUAAAGUGGGUUACGUGUAACCUUUUGAAAGUAUCGUACGAAUAAGGAUCGGCUAACUCCGUGCCAGCAGCCGCCGUAA
rnacentral:rRNA from 1 species